GAAGGUUUUCGGAUCGUAAAGCUCUGUUGUAAGAGAAGAACGAGUGUGAGAGUGGAAAGUUCACACUGUGACGGUAUCUUACCAGAAAGGGACGGCUAACUACGUGCCAGCAGCCGCGGUAAUACGUAGGUCCCGAGCGUUGUCCGGAUUUAUUGGGCGUAAAGCGAGCGCAGGCGGUUAGAUAAGUCUGAAGUUAAAGGCUGUGGCUUAACCAUAGUACGCUUUGGAAACUGUUUAACUUGAGUGCAAGAGGGGAGAGUGGAAUUCCAUGUGUAGCGGUGAAAUGCGUAGAUAUAUGGAGGAACACCGGUGGCGAAAGCGGCUCUCUGGCUUGUAACUGACGCUGAGGCUCGAAAGCGUGGGGAGCAAACAGGAUUAGAUACCCUGGUAGUCCACGCCGUAAACGAUGAGUGCUAGGUGUUAGACCCUUUCCGGGGUUUAGUGCCGCAGCUAACGCAUUAAGCACUCCGCCUGGGGAGUACGACCGCAAGGUUGAAACUCAAAGGAAUUGACGGGGGCCCGCACAAGCGGUGGAGCAUGUGGUUUAAUUCGAAGUCACCGGG
rnacentral:rRNA from 1 species